GCUGGUUUGAUCCCCACAGUCACCACCAUUGUGUCCUUGAGUAAGACACUUAACUCCAGGUUGCUCCGGGGGGAUUGUCCCUGUAAUAAGUGCUCUGUAUAAUACAUUGGUAAUCAGAAGGUUGCUGGUUUGAUCCCCACAGUCACCACCAUUGUGUCCUUGAGUAAGACACUUAACUCCAGGUUGCUCCGGGGGGGAUUGUCCCUGUAAUAAGUGCUCUGUAUAAUACAUUGGUACUCAGAAGGUUGCUGGUUUGAUCCCCACAGUCACCACCAUUGUGUCCUUGAGUAAGACACUUAACUCCAGGUUGCUCCGGGGGGAUUGUCCCUGUAAUAAGUGCUCUGUAUAAUACAUUGGUACUCAGAAGGUUGCUGGUUUGAUCCCCACAGUCACCACCAUUGUGUCCUUGAGUAAGGCACUUAACUCCAGGUUGCUCCGGGGGGAUUGUCCCUGUAAUAAGUGC